rnacentral:lncRNA from 1 species
GGCUCUGGUGGCGUAACUGUGAAGAAAACCGGCCAAGAUCUGGUUUUCGGUAUAUAUGAGGAGCCUUUGACUCCAGGACAAUGUAAUAUGAUUGUGGAGAGGUUGGGAGACUACCUGAUUGAUCAAGGCCUAUAACUCAUAUCACCGUCAUGAUUUUCAUACACUGAAGUUGUCUCUUUCGGCUUGCAUAUACUUGCUGGUUAUAUGGUUUGAAUUGGCACUGUUGGUGGUGUUACUGAAAAUAACCGUGCGCAGACGGAUGCGUUGCCUUUUGGUGUUCAAGGAUUUGUUCAUUUCUCCGAUUUUUGUGUGUUUCUGAAUGUGUGCAUUUAUUCGCUUAGAUUCGCAUGUGGUCAUGGUUUUAUAUCAGGAUAUUCCGUCAAAAAGACUUUGGGUUCGAUUGAGAUGUUUAUCAUCCAAUCGCGACAAGCAGAUAUCCAACCCUAUAAGUACAAGACUCAGUGCAACGAAAUGACCCCUUCCAAUUCAACACACAACUCCCUUGCGCAAAUUCUCUCAACAACCUUGAGAUUUUUUCUUUUCUCAUUUCGCCGACACACCUUCAGUUUGGAUAAACAGCACUGUGAAGGCAACCGGUGAUAUCUUCAGUUGGCAUAAACAGCAUUGUCGCCGUAGAAUCAUUCGAUCUCGCAGCAUCUUCAGUCGGCAUAGACAGCACUGUGUCGAGGGCGAUUGGUUAUCUAUCCAAGUCUCGGUCGAGAAGGAUUUCCGAAUCCUUAUUGGUUGAGGUCAUCUCAUCAGCCUUCUCGGCGAAGUGAGGUGUUACAGUUUAUUGGGCUCGGCACAUUGCACGCCGAGUUAUUUUAUGAUUGGAUACUCUCAAGUGGGAUUUAGAGUUUAGCACUUUGACGGCCGAACCACGUUUACAUUAAGACUUAUAUCCGCUUUAAGUAUUUGUGCCCUUACACUUUGGUGUCGAUUCGGUGUGAGUUUACUCUGACGAAUACCAUCACUGUGACCGAAUCCAACAACGACGAUCUGUGAACUUCGUAAGAAUAGUAGCCUUGUCUUCAGGUUCGAGAACCCAAGAGGCCGAGACGUGUUCCUUCCUCGGUCGCAAUCGCAAGACACAGAAGUCAGACACACACCCAACGCAAUAUCAACACAUUUUACUCCUCGACCGAACUCGGCCGACGAGUUGGCACGCCCUACAUUUAACCAAAGAACGUAGUUAGCUCAUAGAUUACUCGGCCUGCGCGCUGCGUAGGCUUAGUAGUUUUUAGGGUCAACAAAACCCAAAUAAAAAAAAAUCAAAUUUUCAUUCUAUAGACGUAAAAUUAUAGCAGAAAUCGAUUAUAUGUAUGUACAUAACUGUAUACAUAGAUAUACCUGUGGAAGAAACAGAGAUGAUCGACUGAAAGGAGAAAGGUUGAUUUGAAGCUGCUAUGAAAAAAUUCGUCAAUGGGGUCAAACUACCUCUCUAAAAAUGAAACAGUCCCUACAAAAUUCGUCAAUGGUGUAGUUUGAUUGAUGUACUAGGAUUUCAUCCGAACAAUGCUCAAUCUCCAAGCCUAGACAAUAUCAAGAUCUUUCAUCUCAAAUGCUGAUUUCAAGUGAACAUCAAUUUCCUCAAGCUUUGCGGGAGAUCCGAUGAGAUUCAUGUCGUCAACAUAAACUACAACGAUCGCAAAUCGGAAAUGUGACUUCUUUAUGAACACACAUGGGCAUAAUUUGUUGUUCACAUAACCCUAACUUGUCAAAUAUUCACUCAGACGGUUAUGCCAUAUUCGGCCGAAUUGUUUCAAUCCGUAGAGUGAUCUCCCCAAUUAAAUAGAGAAAGUGUUCAGUGGUCUAGAACUAUUUAAACCAGUCAAUGGAAGUCCUUUUGGAACUUUCAUGUAGAUUUCCGUAUCUAGAUCCCCAUAAAGAUACAAGGUUACCAAGUCCAUAAGCUGCAUAUUCAGUUUUUCGAAAACUACCAUACUGAUAAGGUAGCAGAACGUUAUGAUGUCCAUUACAAGGGAAUACAUCUCCUUGUAAUCAAUCUCAGGAUGUUGAGAAAAGCCUUAUACUCUCUAUUUCUAGCCCUCUGAAAUUAACAGAUUUAGGGGAAGAGCGCUAUGAAGCGUGCUUUGUAUCGCAUUAUUUCAUUAUUCACAUUACGCUUCCUCAUGAAAACCCAUUUAUAGCCCACAGGCUUCACAUGUGGUGGGGUAGGAGUUAUAGGUCAAAACACCAAAUCUAAUCAAGUUCAACCUGGAUUGCUUGUUUUCAAUUUGACCAAUCCGUUCUACGUCGGCAUUCAUUAAUGGAACGUGGUUCAAUGUCAUCGCUAAGCAUGAUGUCAGUAGUUACUGUGUACGUAAAUGCAUCGUCAACGAUCAUCUCAUUUCGAUUCCAAACCUUAUCCAAUACUGCAUAGUGGAUCAAAAUCUCACGAUUCUCGAGAUAUCGGGUUGCUUCAUCUAAGACAUCACCGUAAUCUAUAAUAACCUUAUGUUUUGGAACAGAUGAGUGAGCAAUGGUCAGAUUCAAACUAGGGUCACUAUUUUGUGUCGUUUUCCUUUUCUGGGGUUAUAAAUCCUUUGAACCAUAGGGUCUGCCACAGUUCAGGGUAGGAGUAGAUGAUUGGCUAGCCGCCAAUGUACCAGGCCGCGUGAAAGGUGUGGCCUCCCUACCUUCGGGGACGGUUCGAUCUAACCAGGUGGUAUUACAGCAUACUCGAGGUCAGUUAUCCUUACAUGUGUGUUUAUAGCAAGUAUAUGUGAUCUUGUCACCUUUGCUACAACAGUAAAAACAUCUGGCAUGCUUUGAAGAUCUAUAAUUCGUCGCAUUUCAGUUUCAUACUGGGCAGUGAGGAGAUCUAAAUGAGACAUAGUGGGAGCAUACCACAACAAUUUGCUAUGUUUUACAGGAACGUUAACAUGCUUGUCUCCCCCCUAACGACGGGAAGAUUGUCACGUCAAAGUGACAAUCCACAAAACGUGCAGUAAAGAGAUCUUCUGUAAAAGGCUAUAAAUAGCGAAUAAUUGAUGGCGAAUCAUAAGCGUCAUAGAUUCCCAUUUUUCUCUAAAACCCCAUUUUGGUACGUAGUGGCGACGUUAUUGGUACAUAUACCGCGCACCCAAACAUAUGUAAAUGCAAGAUGUCAAGCUCGUAUCCAGUAACCAACUGUAACAGUGAAUGAGGUUGCGUAGCGAUGGGCCUCAGGCGGACCAAUGUAGCUGUGUGCAAUAUUGCAUAGCCCUAGGCAGAUGUCAGCAGUUUGGUUCGCAUAACCAAAGUCUGAGUUAUCAAUUGAAGGUGUUUUAUGAAAGCUUCUACCAAGCCCUUUUAGGUGUGAACAUAGGGUACAUGAUGUUCAACUUCAAUCCUAACUGACAUGCAAUAGUCGUCAAAAGUCUAUGACGUAAACUCUCCAGCGUUAUCCAGUCAAAUUGACUUGAUCAGAUAAUUAGGGUGGUGAGCCCUAAGCUUAAUAAUUUGUGCUAGGAGUUUUGCAAAUGCAGCGUUGCGUGUGGACAAUAAGCAGACAUGUGACCAACGUGUCGAUACAUUAACCAACACCAUAAAGUCCACAAAUAUCCCAUUGAAGCCUUUUGAAUCCUUUGAAUCCUCUGAAGAAACUUAUAAGGGUUGUGAAUAAUCUUUGUAAUUGAGGGUUAAGUAUUCAACUUCCCCAAAGAACAAGCUUUGCAUGGUGGGAAUCCAACGUAAGGAGGUAAAUGAUGCCCAUGUGAUGAUUUGAGGAUAUGGCGCAUCAUGUCACGUCCGGGAUGUCCUAUACGGUCAGGCCAAAGCAAUAAAGUGCUACGGAUUCUCGCCAUGCACAUGUCAAAGCAGUAAAUGAUGCCCAUGUCGCGUCCGGGUUGGCCACAUGGUGGUUCUCUAUGUUACAAAUAGUUGUGAUGUUCAAUCCACUUGGGAAACGUUCCAGCUUCUUGUCAAUACGUUUCUGGCCAUACUCGUAAGAAGUGAUACAAAGAAAUUCAGAUCCAUUCUCUUUAGUGGUUUCAAUAUGAUAUUGAUUAUCUCGAAUGUCUCUAAAACCCAACAAUGUUCUUUCGGAACGUGGAAUGUGGAGGCCUUUUCAACGGUUAAGACAUUACCAUUAGACAACAUUAUACGAGCCUUUCUGUAUCCUUCAAUCAGGUUGGAUGAGCCUGAGAGGGUUGUCAGAGGUGCUUUCUUAGGUACAAAGUUAGUAAAAUAAUGUCGCUCACACAAUGUGGUAUGUGUAGUAGCACUAUCAGCCAGACAACUAACUUCCCUACUAGACAUGCCUAAAAUAAAUUGAUUGAAUUGGUCACAUGCAUAAAUAUAAUUCCAUUCAUUCAAUUAAUCAAUUCGAGAAAUAAUAUCCAUAAAAUAAUUAUCUAUAAUUCAAAGCAAACCAAAACCAAACAAAUUAUUAUAAAUACUUAGAAAAAUUGUCCAAAAAUUAAACCAUAAACCUAAAAAAUAGAAGGGGUUUCAACCACACCUAGUGGGUUCGGCCAGUGGCGAAGUUAGGAAUUGUCGGGAGGAGGGGCGAACUUAAAAGGAGUGCAAAGGUUAAAAAAUGACAAACCAACGAGGGAUAAAACAUCAACUGUUGCUAACUUUCCUUGGCAUGAUGUGAGAUUUAGGUUGACAAGGGUUAUUUUGGAGAUAGUGUCUACGAAUUGCUUCGCGAUAAUUAAGUGGAUAAUCAACCAUUCGAUGUCUAUGUCCAAGGUCUUAUAGUAUCGUUUUAUUACGUAUCUUUAUAAUGGAAAUAAAAAAAAUCUUAAACUCUUAAUCCUAAAGCAGACUAUACUAAUAUGACUAAUAACUAAUUAAACUAACAAUUCAAUUAAUCAAUACCAAAAAAUUCAAUUCAACUAAUCAAUAUGAAUAAGCAUAUACAUUAUUCAAUAAUUCAAUUAAUCAAUCAAUAAUCAAGAAUUCAACUUUUACCGUAAACAACAAUUUCAUUCAUCAAUACUCAUAGAAUUGAUAUUGAUUAUCACUAAUCAAUAAUCAUAUUAGUGUAUUAUCCUAUAAUUCUAUAUUAAUUAAAUAAAAAUAAUCAAUUAGAAUUUGAAAUAAUAUAAAUUUAGAAAAUAAAAAAUUUACCUCAAAUUUGGGAAAGGGCUGCUGGCGUGGCGUUUAAAUGCUUUAUAAGAUUGCGGCAUAGUGGAACACAUUUGAAAAUUGAACGGGUUGGAUAGGAAAGGCGACAGUGGUCCCUACUCAAUUUUUUUUUUUUCACAUAGCAAGUAAAACGAUGCCGUUUUACUUUUAAAAUUAAAAAACAGAAGCCCAGCACUGCUCGCAGGAAGCAACUCAGCAAUAUGAACAAACAGAACAACCACCAUGUUUUUCAGUUUCAGGCCUCACCAGAGGGGCUUAAGACUCUCUCCUAGGCAUGUUUUCCAAUGAGCGGAGGGGCAGCCGCCCCUCCUCGGCCCUAUGUAGCUUCGCCACUAGGUUCGGCCAGUAAAGGUAAAAACACCCUAACAACAUGUCUAGAAGAAUAAAACUUAUUCAUCCAAAGGAGUUGAUGCCUCCUAAAAGUAUGAUAUCUUUAUGGAUGUAGUAGCAUCUUCAGGAUGUUCCACAUGGGCAAAGUCAGACUCAUGACGUGAAUGAUACUUGGCAAUUUUUGGGGGGGGGUAGCUCUGCAUUUGCAUGACCAAAGAUCCUUUAAUCCACAUUGGUAGCACAUGUCCAUUUCAUUGGAAGCCAAUUGAAUGAUAGUUUUUCCCUUAUUCUUGAAGUUUGGGGACUUUGGGGCAAAUGGUUAACGCUUCUGGGUCAAAUUUCCUCCCUUGGGUGGGCCUUGGCUUUGUUGACCUUGGGCCGGUGGUUGGGCUUACCGCCCAUUACCAUGGCCACGAUGAUGUUUUCGUCGUUUGUGGUUGCUAGAAUUGGUCCCAUGCGCUUCAGGUGCGGCAUUCGAGCUAAUGGGUCGAGCUUGAUAAUUUGUCAUCAAAAGUUGGUUCUACUUUUCAGUGAGAAGUAAAACAGAGAUCAAAUCCAAAAAAAUUGGUGAACUUUUAUGCCCUAUAUUGUUGUUGCAGGACAAUAUUGGUGGCAUGGAAGGUCGAAUGGGUAUUCUCCAAGAGAUAUGCAUCUGUUACGUGCACAUUACAAAACUUAAGCAAUGAUCGGAUUCUACAAACUUCAAAGUUGUAUUCAUUCACAGACUUAAAGUCUUGGAAGCAUAGAUGCUGCCAGUCGUGUUGCUUCAGGCAAGUAAAUAUCUUUCUAGUGAUAGAAAUGGUCGGCCAGAGCAAGCCAGAUGGUGCAUGGGUCCUCCUCAGCGAGGUGCUCGGUCUGCAAUGCAUCAUGGAUAUGUCUUCAAAUGAAGAUUAUUGCAGUAGCUUUUUGAGCUUCAUCGAUGGGUUUGGCAUCUGUAGGUGCCUCGAUGGUGGCUCUAAUACCCUUUGCACUAAGAUGGAGCUUCACGUCUUGAACCCACUUCAAGUAGUUUCUUCCAGAGACUUCCAAAGCGGUGAAUUUGAGCUUGUUCAAGUUCAACAUGUCCCUAAAAUAGAGGGUACAAUAAAACAUGGUUAGUCAUAAGGUAAUUCAUAGACCUCGAGUUCUAUAGACAUGUAUUGGUUUAAUUUAAGCAUGAAAGUUACAAGUUUCAUGUGACAUAAAUAUGGCCGCCACGUUAGCUCUUAACUAAUCAAUGGAUGGAAAAUGUAACAGAUGUAUUAUAUUGAAAUAAAUCCACCUCUCGCAACCGCCCACCUUUACAAACAAACCCAGAAACCUUCCCCCUUCACCCCCAUGCCCUGGCUUCUCCUGUACUCUCUUCACCUCCCCUCCCAUCCAAAGACCCAUCACACCCAACCCCCACCUCUCCCGCUUCCAUUACAUUACAAAAAUACAAUCCCAAAUCAAUGUCAGAAACCCUAAUUCAAAAUUUCCAGGCAAGAGGUAUUUUGUUAACAGCACAAGGGUAUGAUGGAGCUCCUAACAAACUUUGAUUAAUGACUCCAAAAGCCCUCAUAUUUUGCCUAAUUUGCUGCUGUCCAUGAAUAGUCCUCCUUUAUGUUAGUCGAAAACCGAAAAAAGUCAGAAUCUUUGGAAAAUUUUAACUCUCAAAAUCUAAAUGCCCAGAUUGCAAAAAAAAAAAAAAAGACCCCAUUUCAGUGAUUCAUUACCUCACAUAUUUAUAGGUCUGAUUAGACUAGAAUGGUUCUCAUUAGAAACAGCCAUCUUUGAAGUUUAUGAUUUCCUUAAGGAACAAUCAAUCAAUCAAUCAAUCAAUCAAUCAAAUCAAAACCCGAGCAAAGAGGCUAAGAAUCCUAAAUCACCUUAAAUUUCUUCCAUCCAAGAAAGCCUAUAGAGAGAUAAAGAGAACAAAGAGAGAGAGAAAGGGAUUGAAAUCUCUGCAAAAUACCUCUUGUAGCGGGGGAGGUGGGAGCUGGAAGGAUCGGUGGAGAGGAUAUCGUGCAGAGAGGGAGGGCUUGGUAAAGAGGAGAUCGUGGUAGAGAGGGAGCGGAGAAGGACCCACUGCCACUGCUGCUCGUGCGUCUUCUCCGAAGAGGUGGGGUGGGAUGGGGUAGGUUUUUGGAUGGGAUGGGAGGUGAAGAGAGUGGAGGAGAGGUAGGUGGGUCGGGGGGGGGGCGAAGUUUCCUAAAUAUUUUUUUGCUACGUGGCACAAAUGUAGCAGCUACGUCAGCUCUUAACGGAUCAAUGGAUGGAAAAUGUAACGGAUGUAUUAUAUUGAAAUAAAAUAGUACAUAAGGUAUGAAAGUGAAAUGUUUUGAAGAUAUUGUAUGAGGUUGUAAUAGACCUCAAACCUGAGGUGAUAAAGUGUAAUUUACCUAAUUUUAUUUUUUUAUUGAUUUAAAAUAUAUUUUCUUUAACGGAUAAUGAGUCAUACUCAUAUUACCUGAUAUUAUUAACGGGUCGAUUUCGGAUCGGGUCAUAUUGCUCGUUUACUUUAACGAAUGUUACACGACACGACCCAUAUGGGGUGUGUUACGAAAACGACAUGAACACAAAUGUCAUGUCUAGCUAAUAGUACCAUAUAUAUGCACUACCUCUCUAUUCCAAUAGUGAUUUUUUUUUGUUUUUUUUUAAUUACUGUUGACCCUAAAAACUACCAAGCCUAUGUAGCGUGUAGGCCGAGUAAUCUAUGAGCUAACUACGUCCUUCGGUUGUGUGCGGGGUGUGCCAACUCGUCGGCUUAGCUCGGCCGAUGAGUAAAAUAUGUUGAUGUUGCGUUGGGUGUGCGGCUGACUUCUGCGUCUUGCAAUUGCGGCCGAGGAAGGAACUUGUCUCGGCCUUCGGGUUCUAGAGCCUGAAGACAAGGCUGCUAACUUAGCGAAGUUCAAUAUCAAAUUCGGCUUCCAAUGUGUCGAAUGUAGUAACUCGUAACACCUCACUUCGCCGAGAAGGCUGAUAAGAUGACCUCGACCAACAAGGAUUCGAAAAUCAUUCUCGACCGAGACUUGGAUAGGUAACCAAUCGGCCUCGACGCAGUGCUGUUUAUGCCAACUGAAGAUGCUGCGAGAUCGGCUGAUUCUACAGCACAAUGCUCUUUAUGCCAACUGAAGAUAUCACCGAUUGCCUCCACAGUGCUGUUUAUGCCAACUGAAGAUGUGUCGGCGAAAAAGAAAAGAAAAAAUCUCAAGGUUGUUGAGAGAAUUUGCGCAGGGCAGUUGUGUGUUGAAUUGGAGGUCCCUGAUGCGUUGCUCAUGUGUCUCUAUUUACCUCUGCACGGCCUAAUAAUUAAGUAGAGUUCAUUUGCAACUCAAACUAAUGCAACUGAUCUGUGCCAUAGGCUAAGGCCUAUCCCCCCCUUUUUAGGCUUGGUAUCACAUCACCACAAAUAAACUAGUUUAUCUCCAUAAAAUAAACAAGUUUAUAUCCAUGUAAUCACCUCACCAAUCAAAUCCAUCAUGUAUAUUUCCCCUGACAAAGACCACAUGCAUGCAUGAUGAUCCCUUCAUCAGCUUAAACUCUAAAAAACAAUUGAUGAAAUUCAUCAUCAUAUCUCAAGACAAGGCUACGUGCUUCAACCCUAUCCAUGAACUCAAAGUCCAUUUGAAUUGUACCAUCCACAUCAAAUAUAUCACAUAUUAAGUUUAAAUAUCCUAGUUAUUAUUAAGAGAUAAUAUUAUGAUUAAAAUCACAAUAUCAUUCCUCAAUACUAACUAAAAAUCAUUUUAACCACUUUAUCAUUCACCGGUCUAAAAUCCUGCGCAUUCAACGGCCUCGAUUGCACGGGCCAAUAGUGUAAAAACGGGUUCAAACAAUUACAAACAAUAUUUUAUACUAAUUUACAUUAAGAAUAAGGUUUUGAACCCUAUUGUGAUACAAUGUGUUGAAUAAAAUGAAAUUGAAGUAUAACACUGGAGUGGAUAAAUUGUUAUGUUUUAGUAUUGUUAGUUGUACUUAUUUGAUUGUCAUAUUUUGUGUUUCAUAAUAUAUCAGCCUCAUAUAUACCCUGUUGCUUAUGCAUAUAUAAUUAAGAAAAUGAACGAAAACAGCUUGAAAAUUUUAAAUUUUAAUGAUAAUGAUAAAAUAAAGGGUAAAGUUAAUAGUACCAGAAUUGACUUUUUAGUGUAAAAAUAUAGUUUUUUAUUAAAGUAAACAGUAUCAUAAACUUUUCGUUAAAAUUCCUAUAAUAAUUACAAUCUUAGUGUGUGAGGCUAAAAUUUGAAUGUGCCCAUAUCAUAUUCUCAUUCCAAAAACAACAAAAAUAAUAUAUCAAGAAAAACGUGGUUAAAAUUGUCGAAUGAAAUAAAUAAAAUUAAAUUAACAAAAAACAUGUGCAAGAUAUAAUGAGAUUGUAGAUGGGACCGCGCUUAUUUAAUUAUAAUAUCUUCUUGCUAUAGAUGUCCUCAUAUUUUUGUUUUGUUUGUGCGUUCUUGCUUUUCUUUCAGAGACGUGCUGAAGGGACCCAAUGAAAAAAUGAAGCGACAAGCGGCUGCAAAAGCAUUGAGUAGUCCUUGUUUGCUUGCCGAUCAUUUGGUGGUUUGUGUUGAUUGCGGUCGAUUUGCGUGGCAGGCAAGAUCAGCAAGGCAGGCCUUUGUGUAAGGAUGGUACAUCCACAUGAGAAAUAUUUCAUUUUGAUCCAAUGCUACAUCACAUAUUUUAUACAAAUGAUGACAAAUUUUACUUUUUUAAAUUAUUAAUUUUUUAAUACAUAUAUUUCAUUAUUUCUACAAUGACACAUAGUGUAUCAUCUCAUGUACCGAUCACAUUAAAAAAUCUCAUUAUCUGCAUGAUGCAUUAGAUAGGAUACGAAAAAUAAAACAAGGGUAAAACAAUUUUUAAAAUUUUUUAAAACAUAAUCACGUAACAUUAUUAUUGUAUUUAAAUUUUAACCUAUAAAUUUGCUUUUAUUCGUAUAUAUGUUUUAAAUUGAAAUCUAUCAUAAACUAUGUUGAUAAUUGAUCCUUAUUAUAACUUAUACCACGUAGAAUAAUUUAUCACGUGAUUUAUGUUUUUAAUAUCUAUAAAUGUUUCUCUGACGUACAAUAAUGCUAAAACAAAUCAGACAAAGACCUAACACAAUGUAACAAUCAGCCACGUAAGGGAGAUCCUUGAAAUGAUUGUUUUUUGGGGAAAAAUGUCGGCAAAUGGAUAAAUCCAAAAACCCUUUGUCCACAGGCAUCCAAUGAUUGCUGCAUAAUUAGUUCAAUUCAAUGUGGGAAUUCCUUUAUUUUUCAGGCAAUCUUUAAAUAUUUUCGGGCACGUUUGAAUGAUGGAUUACAUGUUCAACUGUUCAAGCGAUCGUAGAUAUCUUUGAAUUAGCAAGAGAUAUGCUUAAUGUUAAUCCUUGAAAGAAUUAAGAAUUGAGAGAGAUUUGGCAAGAUUAUACAAAUUGCCAGAAAUAUAUGCAACUCGAUUAAUAUAACAUAUAAGACUAAAUUUGGCAAAGAAAAAGGAUUAAUGUAAGACUAAAUAUGGGAACGUGGUAGGCGUGUCGUGUAUAUAUAUACUAAUAGAGAACCUUAUCUUUUUAUAUGCAGCUUGUUAUGCUUGCAUGUUAUAUAAUUAUGCAGAUAAUAUCAUCUCUUUUGACGUCUCUCCUUUCCAUUUUAAGCUUUUUUUUUAGGGAAAUACUUUUUAAACACUUGUUUAGCCUUCCACACUACUUUGUUUAAUUUAGACUAUUGAUUUUGUCUGACUUAUACAAUUCGAUGAUUAUAAAUAAAAAAGUAUGUGAGAAGCUAAAAAAAAGUGUGAAAAUUACUUUCAUUAUGUGAUGGAAUUCUUUUGUUGUGCAUCGGAUACCCUUCGUUCUGUGAUAUAAAAGAUGCUUUAAGUUUAGGCUUUAAUAAGCUCUUAUCAUUACCUUUCAAUUAUAUUAUGCAUAACUUUUUAUGAGUGGUGGGAGAGGGUAUUGAUGUGGUUUACAUAAAUACAGAGGAUAGUUUACACUAAUUUAUACUACAAGGAGGGAGAUAUUUUGAAAAUGAAACGCAGUGGAUUGAAGAGAAAGAUCAUAGCCACCAAAGUUGUGUUAAGAAUAUUCAACUACCAAUCUUUCUAUUACAAUGAAAAUAAUGGAAAUUAGUAAAUUCCUACAUCUAUAUUUAUUUGGAAGAAAUUCCCUCUUCAUUUUUAUUUUACUUUAGUCUUUUUUGUAAGGGAACUUUAACAAAAAAACUUCUGGUACUGUUCACUUUAACAAAAAACCAUAUUUUUGCACUAAAAAGUCAAUCAUGAUACUAUUCACUAUACCCUUUAUUUUGUCCUUAUCGUUAAAACUCAAAGUUUUCAAGCUCUUUUCAUUAGUUUUCCUUUUUUGUAAUGAUGUAUCUUAUUGUAUGCAAUUCUUUUUUUUUAUUCUGAAAAUAUAUGCAAUAUUUUUAUUAAUUUUCUACUAAAUCUUUGACAACUAUGCAAUUCUUGCAACUUUUUUCAGAAGCAUUUUUGCUCACCACUAUAACUAUAGUGUAUGAUCAUUAUACAUAUAAUCAUUUAUCAUGUGUUAUUUUACCGUACUAGUUUUCACAUUAAAUUUUACUUUUAAAAUUUUUAAAAAAAUUUACUAAGAUUAAAUAAAAGAACACUUAACAAAUAAUUAGAUAUAUGAUGAGCAUUCACUAAAGUUUGAGAACAUAGCAAAAAUGGAAUGGCAAUUGGAGAAUUAGAUAAUUUACGAAUAUUAUUUUCAAAAAAAGCAUAUGCCAACCAAUUUUUUCAAAAAAGCAUAUGCCGACCAACAGUGAUAUCUUUCUUUGGUAAGUAAACAAUAACAUAUAUUAUUACUAUUUAUGGUACGUUUUGCACAUGGCAAUAUAUUAUUACAUUAUUACUUAUAAGUCCUUUUGCCUUUCGAAGUUUUCUGUUUGGUUGAUUUCAACUUUUCUUGCAUGAGUAGGUCAAAUAAUUGAAAUAAAACAGAAAACUGCAUUUAUUUUAACAAAUAAUAUUAUCUACAUUAAAAGGGAAGUGAUUAGUUUAGCCUUAUAAUGUAUUAACAAUAAUGUGGUUCAAACUCGUCUUUGGCGAGAAUUAAACUUAAGAUCUCUCGCUUACAAAUGAAGAUGAAUAUCACUAAACCAUUGUAUUAAGUGGCCAACAGAAAACGCCGUUAAUAUUGUAACAUUGAUGUGAAAAAUGUGAAACGUGGGAACGUUAAUGAAAAAGAGACUCACAAAAGAGAAAUGCUAAGAAGACUCUUUCAAAGUGAGACUCUCUAUAACUCUCAGUCAUCUCACAAUUUACCAUCAAAUCUCAUGCGAACAUUAUAAAAUAUUUUGCAAAAAAUAUAAGAUAGCAAAGAGUUUAUAGAGAGUCCCACUUUUGAAAGAGCUCCUUAGCAUUUUUUUAACAAACGAUAUUAUCUACAUUAAGGGGGGAGGGGAAGUGGGCUUAGCCUCAUAAUGAGCUAGCAAUAAUAUGAUACAAAUUCACUUUUGGUGAGAAUUGAACCUAAGACCUCUCACUUACAAGUGAAGAGAAAUACUACUAGACUGUAGUACUAAGUGGCCGCUAUCUCUUUAGCAUUUAUCUUCACAAAUUUGAAAAACAUAGGGCCCAAUGCCUUAGGACCACGUGUGCCUAUAAAGGCCAGUGUCCAGGACCACGCGCACAUUUGAAAAAUAUUAUAAAAAAAAAAGAGCACGACACGUGCACAUUUUAAGUUUAUGUGUUGUAAAAUCGCCGGUGGUGUGCAGUAGAAUAAAUAAACAAGACAUAAAAUUUACGAGAUUCCUCUACAGUCAGUGUGACUGGAGUACAUCCUCGGGGCACCAGUGAUGCUUUCAUUAUAAUAUGAAAUAAUAAGAGUACAAAGAUAACUCUCUCUAUUAUCUCAUCUCCUCUUCAUCUCUUCCUCUUCCGUGAGUCUCCGCUCUUCUUCACCUCUCAUUCAUUUUAUAAACAAAGAGAACACUAUUCACUUUACAAAUUUUCCACAAAUGAAUAGUGAAAAUAAUGUGAAUAAAUAGUAGGCCUAGCAAACGAGUCGUGUCAGUCGUGUUCGUGUCGUUUUCGUGUAACACCUGUUAUCUUAACGGGUCGUGUCGUGUCGUGUCACACCUGUUAUCUGAACGGGUCCUUAACAGGUCGGAUCACUUUACCCAACGGGUAAAGUGACCUGACCCGUUAUGACCCGUUAAGAAAAAUAUUUUUUUUUUCCUUAAAUUUGCACAUACCACACAUUGUCACAUAAAUAUUACUUCAAAACAUUAAAACACAUUUGUCGUUUAAGUACUACAUUUACACUCGAAAAUAAGAGCCUCAUAAAAAAUACAUUCAUACACUACUAAUCUAUUACAAAUAUUAAAUGUGCAAGGAUAUGCAAAAUGAAAGCGUUUUUGUUUUCAAGGUUGUGAAGCCUUUCUCAAAAGUUUAAACCUUGCCAAUGGAACUCAAUGCUUAAUGAAAGUGACCCACUAUUGUGUUUAUUCGUACUUUCAUUAAGUAUAACAUAAGAUUUUGUGGUAUCCACUAGUGUAAAUAUUUUAAAUUGAAGAUUGAAUUCAUUCAUUGUAUUCAUAAAGGGUCAAGGAGUGUAGUUGUAAAAAAUCAUCAAAAUCAGAGUUAAAAUAACCGUUAAAUUGUGAUUUUUCGUUUAUAACCGUCGAAAAGUUUUGUCCCGUUACUUAAUCUUUAAAUGUUUGUUUUUUGCAAUUUUUGGCGUAUGCGAUCUCGAAGGAUAUACAAACAAGUAUGAUAGUUAGAUCGUUGAAACUAGUUUCGUAGAAUGCAUAUCCCAUCAAAACAAUAGAUUCACUAACACUUAAAGGUUUAUUCUUACUUUUAUUAAGUAUAACAUAAGAUUUUGUGGUAUCCACUAGUGUAAAUAUUUUAAAUUGAAGAUCGAAUUCAUUCAUUGUAUUCAUAUAGGGUCAAGGAGUGUAGCUGUAAAAAAUCAUCAAAAUCGGAGUUAAAAUAACCGUUAAAUCGUGAUUUUUCGUUUAUAACCGUCGAAACGUUUUGUCUCGUUACUUGAUCUCUGAAUGUUUGUUUUUUGCAAUUUUUGGUGUAUGCGAUCUCAAAGUAUAUAUAAACAUGUUUGACAGUUGGAUCGUUGAAACUAGUUUCGCAAAAUGUGUAUCUCAUCAAAACAAUAGAUUAACUAACACUUAAGAGUUUAUUCAUAUUUUCAUUAAGUAUAAUAUAAGAUUUUGUGGUAUCCACUAGUGUAAAUAUUUUAAAUUGAAGAUCAAAUUCAUUCAUUGUAUUCAUAUAGGGUCAAGGAGUGUAGCUGUAAAAAAUAUCAAAAUUGGAGUUAAAAUAAUUGUUAAAUCAUGAUUUUUCGUUUAUAACCGUCGAAAAGUUUUGUCUCGUUACUUGAUCUCUGAAUGUUUGUUUUUUGCAAUUUUUGGGCGUAUGCGAUCUCGAAGUAUAUACAAACAUGUUUGACGGUUGGAUCGUUGAAACUAAUUUCGUAGAAUGCGUAUCCCAUCAAAACAAUAAAUUCACUAACACUUAAGAGUUUAUUCAUACUUUCAUCAAGUAUAACAUAAGAUUUUGUGGUAUCCCCUAGUGUAAAUAUUUUAAAUUGAAGAUCGAAUUCAUUCAUUGUAUUCAUAUAGGGUCAAAGAGUGUAGCUGUAAAAAAUCAUUAAAAUCGGAGUUAAAAUAACCGUUAAAUCGUGAUUUUUCGUUUAUAACCGUCGAAAAGUUUUGUCUUGUUACUUGAUAUGUGAAUGUUUGUUUUUUGUAAUUUUUUGCUGAUGCGAUCUUGAAGCAUAUACAAACAAGUUUGACGGUUUGAUCGUUGAAAUUAGUUUCGUUUAAUUCGUAUCCCAUGAAGUUCAAUGGGGUGUGUGUGUAUAUAUAUUUAUUUAUUUAUUUAUUAAGUAGAUUUAAAUCUAUUUAUUUUGUAUGUAUAAUUAUUAUAGUUUUUAGGGGUAUAAAAUUUAAUUUAAAAUUUAAUAUAUAUAUAUAUAUAUAUAUAAAUAUAACUAUUAUAGUUAAUAUUUUGGGGGUAUAAUUAUUAUAGUAUAUAUAAUUAUUAUAAUUAUUAUAGUUAAUUUAAUAUAUAUAUAUAUAACUAUUAUAGUUUUUAGGGGUAUAAAAUUGUUAAAUUAAUAUAUAUAAUUAUUAUAGUAUUUUUUAGGGUUAUAAAAUUAUAAAAUUAAUAUUUUGUUUAUCGUGUAUCGUGUUACCCACGUGUAUACCCGAACCAACUCGUUAUCUUAACAGGUGCUUAUCGGGUUACUCGAUAACGAUCUGUUUCGUUAUCGUGUCGACCCGAACACCUGUUAAUUUCGUGUCGUGUCGUGUCGGGUUAUCGGAUUGUGUCAGGAAUUGCCAGGCCUAAUAAAUAGUAACAAAUUAUUCAUGUGGGCCAUCCACAUAUUAUUCACAACAUUAUGGUUAUUAUAACAAAAUUUUGUCAAUUGGCAAGGUGGUCUGCCACACAAUUACCAUGACGAGGAAUAUAUGCUAUUGAGCACUUAACAAACUUAGUCAUCAACUCCCUAAUAUCAAAAGCAAUAAAACCAAGACUUGAGUAAUCUAUAGUUCCUCCUUUGCAAGCUUCGACUGCUUUCAUCGAGACAGUUUCAAAUUGGACCAAACUACAUCCAGUGUGAAUAGCAAGCUGCAAACUAGCUUUUAUUGCUAAUAGCUCCACCUAUUUCACGGAGCAGAUACCUUGGAACCUCAACACACCCGUUGCUCGAAACAAGCCUCCAUCACCACGAAGUACUCCUCCCGCGCCACCAUCCUUGACCUCUAACUUUGCCGCGCCAUGUACAUUUAAUUUAAACCACCCUUCACUAGGUGUCAUCCACCUAUGUGGUUGCGGCUCCUUAACAUGGCUAGGGCUGCAAUUAACCUCCUGGAACUCUUGAAGCCAACAUAACACCCGCUGCAGUACCUCUAAAGGCUCAGUAAAUUUCCCCUCCCAGACCAACCUAUUAUGCUCCAUCCAAAGUGCCAUAUCAUCAUGAAUAUUAUAUUAAUAUCUACCCCUUGAUGUAGUAUUCAUAUUUCAUAGAUGCGUUUUUAUCACAAAUGGUCCUUGUAAUUGACCAUCAUCAUCAAGAUGAUUUUUGACAUUGAAAAUCAAUCAAUAUAGUCCUUGAAAAUAGGUGUUGCAAAUCAAUGUGGUGUUUUUGUCAUAAUUAUGUUAAAAAAUCUGUUAAGUGCUGAUGUGGCCCAUAAAUGGGUCCUAUAAGAUUUACAGGUGUUAUCACAAAUGGUCAUUGAAAUUGACUCACACUAUCAAGAUGGUCCUUGAAAUUGACUCACACCAUCAAGAUGGUCCAUAAAAUUGAAAUUGAUGAAUGUAGUCCUUGAAAGUAGGUGUUGCAAAUCAAUAUGAUGCUUCCGCCACAAUUCUGUAAAUUUUUUGUUAUGUGCUGAUGUGAGUAUAAUAAUUAAUUAAAAAAAGUUGUCUGAAUACUAUUUUGCACAAUAGAAUUUUUUUUUUGUAAUAGGACCUACUCCUAAGAGAGAUCCCUUCCAUAAAUUCUCAAAGGCACAAGGCUUAACCAAGGUCUAAGAUGGGGUUUGAAAAAGUUUUCAACCAACAAUAGACGCACCUUGGUUAUAACCUCAUUAUCUCAAUGACAUUGUCGUUUUUUGAGUCACCAUACCACAUGGAAGCGCCGAACAAGCUCUCCAAGAUUAAAGUUGUGAGGAUGAUGAUCCCCUAAAUGCUAACAGUCAUGUCCCAGAAGUUGUUGCCAAUCAGCCAAGUCUUCACCAAAGUUGAUCUCGAUCCAGGUUCAAUUCGGCGAAGGGUGUCAAAGUGUUUAAAGUUGGAUGUGUUGAGAUUUUAUUUUAGAGAAUAGACAGCGAAGGAGUAGAAUAAUGUAGACUGUGAUUAGAGGUGAUUGUACGAAUGGGCUUUUGGGUUUAUAAUUUUUUAUUGGGGCGUUUUGAUAUAGACCCCUCACUUUUAGGCUUUUUAGAUUAAACAUCUAUUCAAUUUAACAAUUUGAUUAAACAUUCUCCUACAAUUUUGGUGCCAUGUGUAUUUUAAUUAACCCAUUGUAACGUACCUAAAUUACAUAUUUUGCCAUAGCCUUUAACAUAUCUCUUUGCCGUAUCUAGUUUCUUCACCCCAAAAUGCACGCAAGUUUCCUAGAUUCUUGCUAACUAUGUCUCAGAGUUUUAAUCCGAGUAGAAUACUUGUUGAAUAUCAGAAGGAUUUGAAUUUAAGGAUAUUAAUAAUGUUAUUUUUCUAGUGAAUUUUAUUUUCCAACGACACUUCCUUCCUAUGAACGUACCAUAAAUUUCAAAAGCCUUCUUUUCGUACCGAGGUUGACGUUGGUAUUCAGGUUCCAGUUACUGAUUUUUAUUCAAUUAUCAGUUGGGUGCAUUGAUUUUGAUUGUCUUUCGAAGUCGAAGGAUUUGAUUAAACGAAAAAAUAAAAGAUGAAAACUUAAUUAAUCUAGGUAUAGCUGAAGCUGUUAUCGAGUUAAAAAACAUGAUUCACACGUUAGGGUCGAUGCAUGUUGUGUAUUAGCCAAAUUAUUAAUUAUGGUUUUAGUAUUAAUUGAAUUAAGAAUCCCAUAUGGAGCUUCGGUUGGAUCUCAUAUCCAUCCAACUUGUUAGGAGUUACACCGCAACGUACGUAGCUAGUAUAAGAAGUUGAGGGUCCUGAGCAAGGCUAUGAUUAGUACAUUAUUAAUGUUAUGCUGACUCAUAUUGGACUGCGACUUUGUAAUGUACCAGUUAACAUUUUGAAUUUGGUACAUUAUUGGACUGCAACUUUGUAAUGUACCAAGAGUUUGGUAUGUCAUUUAAUGUUAUGUUGACUCAUAUUGAUCGUUUGGUACGUAAAGUUUUUAUUUUUUAAACGUAUUUGUUUGGAAAAACGUUAUCAGUGUGUGUUUGUAAUGUACCAAGAGUUUGGUACAUUACUUAAUGUUACACAUACUCAUAUUGAUCGUUUGGUUCAUGAUAGAAUGUUAAAUUAGAUCAUUUAAGGCGUUUGGUACGUAAAGUUUUUUUAUUUUUGAAACUUAUUUGUUUGGAAAAACGUUAUACAAUGUGUGUUUGUAAUUUACCAAGAGUUUGGUACGUUACUUAAUGUUACACUGACUCAUAAUGAUCGUUUGAUUCAUGAUAUAAUAUUAAAUUAGAUCAUUCUAGGCAUUUGGUACGUAAAGUUUCAGUAAUUUUUGAAACUUAUUUGUCUGGAAAAACAUUAUACAGUGUGUUUGUAAUGUAACAGGAGUUUGGUACGUUACUUAAUGUUACACUGACUCAUAAUGAUCGUUUGGUUCAUGAUAUAAUAUUAAAUUAGAUCAUUCCAGGCAUUUGGUACGUAAUUUUUUUUUUUUGAAACGUAUUUGUCUGAAAAAACGUUAUACAUUGUGUUUGUAAUGUACUAGGAGUUUGGUACGUUACUUAAUGUUACACUGACUCAUAAUAAUCGUUUGGUUCAUGAUAUAAUAUUAAAUUAGAUCAUUCAAGGUGUUUGGUAAUAGGGGCAAAGUUAUACUCACUGGUCAUUAGCUCCUAUCAAAACGAGAUUAUACAAAGAAAUUAGACUAAAAGCUAGAAAUGGACGACGCCAUUGGGCUAGUAUCGAUAUAUGUAGUAGGCCAACUAAGAAAUGUGGUUCUCUGUUCGGAGGCUUUGAUUUUGAAAAAAAAAAAAACGAAAAAAAAAACAAAAAAAAAACCUGAGUAAGAGACUUUCAUAGAUGGGAUUGAAUUAAAAAAACGUGGGAGAACCGGCUUCCUAAAGAAUAGGCACGUACAGAAAUAUAUCUACAUAAAAGGAUAUAUAUGGAAUUUAAUAAUUAAUAUAUUAAAUUAAAAAAACACAAUAAUGAUUUGUAAUCUAAAUAAAUAUAAAAAUGUUGACAUGACUAUUGUUUAAGUGUCCUAAUCAAAUUUUGUAUUAUAACCAAUGUUUAAUCUAAAGAGGAUUAUAAAAGUGAUGGGGAUUCUAAUUUUCCCUUUUUUAUUAACAAUUAAAUUAUUAAACUUAUUUGUAAUUUUUUUCAAAUUUAAUUAGGCUUGUGUGAUCCAAUUAUGUGUCACAUCAGCACAUAACAAAAAUUUUGAUAGAAUUGUACCAGAAUGACUACAUUGAUUUGAGACACUUAUUUGAGGGACUACAUUAAUCGAUUUUCAAAUCCAGGGACCACUUUGAUGUCACAGGUUAAUUUCAAGGACCACUUUGAUGUUGCGGGUUAAUUUCAAGGACUAUUUGUGAGAAAAUAGGACAUAUGUGACUCAUUUAUGUGCCACAUUAGCACUUAAUGAAAAUUUUAACAAAAUUCUAACAGAAGGACCACAUUGAUUUGUGACACCUAUUUUUUAAUUUCAUAAAUAGCGAGUUUAAUACUAAUUUAUUCUUCAAUCUUUUAGUGGAAAUAUAUUUUUACAUCAUUAAAAAAAAAUUAAAAAAAAAAACUUAUCCUUAUAAUUAAUUUCAAAAAAACAACUCAGGAUCUUGUGCAUCUUAACCAUCGUGAUUCCUGAAUUUUAUUGGAAUUGGAGUUUGAUCCCAAAACUAGAAAUUUAUGAGUAUUGAAUUAUAAACUUGUCACAAUCUGAAGCAAUACUCCUUUUAGAUGACAACAAUGAAGUGGAAAAGUUCAAGCACUAAUAUUCCUCCAAUUUUCACUUAUUGUACACCAGCAUAACUAAGGGGCACCGACGUAAUUAUCCCUAAAACCAAAGGUCAAUGUCUUGAUUAAACCCUAUUUAAAGAAGGAAACUUAUCAAUCUAAUGCAACGAAGUCUCCACUCACCAAAGUCCUCACAUACCAUGGAAAGAUUGCCAGGAGUAUUACUCUUCUUUCUUGUCAUAUUUUUCUCAACAACUCAAGCUUAUGAGCCACUUAUAAACCACCAAAUCCAUCUCCUCAGGCCGAAAUCCGGGGCGGGUGGCAGCAGCGUUCCCGGCCUGUCUUGUCUGAGUUGGCGUUUGGCGGUGGAAGUUGGGAACAUUAUCAACUGGAAGACUGUUCCGGCACAAUGUGGAAGCUACGUUGGGCACUACAUGCUUGGGCACCAGUACAGGAAGGACUCAAAAUUGAUCACUGAUGUGGCUUGGCUCUAUGCCAAGAGCCUCAAUCUUAAAAAGGAUGGCAAGAACGUUUGGGUCUUUGAUAUAGAUGAAACCACGCUCUCUAAUCUACCGUAUUUUGCUCGUCAAGGAUUCGGGUAAGUUGCUAAUUGAGUAAAUAUUACCAAAAUCGUGAUAUUAAUUUUCUUCACGCAAGCAAUUUCUUUAACGUUUAUAUAAUACAUUCAAAUUGUCAAAUAUUAAAUUAUAAUAAAAAAUUUCAACAAAAACUUGUAGUAACCAAUGAUAUAUUAUAUUUAUCGCCUUCAUGAUAUUAUUCACUAUUUUAUUAAUGUUGAAAUAAACAAUAAUAAGGACCCUUCACGGCCGGGUUUUGCUUUAUUUUUUUUCUAUAAGGGGGAGGGACCCCAGGAUUGCAUAAUGCUUGUUUGAUAGAUAAACGAAUAAUGAAGUUUAUAUAACGCAAAUCGUUUGAUUAAUAAAAGAAUAAUAGUGUAUGAAACUCGGCAAAAAACAAUCAUACUUAUCUAUCUUAAUGCGGAUUCGACUACCACUGAUUCUCUCAUUUCUCAUAACAAUUAACUAUUUAACUCAUUAACAGUAUAACUCUACUAAAAUAUAUUGUAUGAACUCACUUAUAUGUUAAUAAUGCGACCAAUAAUGUGGUACCUAAGCUCUAGCUAGUCUAACUAACGAGAACUUUUUUAUUGUGAAUUUGUGACAAAAAUACGAGUGGUAUAUCAUGUAUUUUUAUAUAAGUGUGAAAUUUUUUAUUUUUUAAGUUAUUAAUUUUUUUAACACACAUAUCUCACCAUUUGUACAGUAACACGUGAUGUACCACUUCGUGUACCGGUCCCGCUGAAAAAUCUCUCCCAACUAACAAAUAUAUUUCAAAGAUUUUAUUAAAUAUAAAGCAUGAGGAUGCACAUGACCCAACGCAUAAUAUAAAAAUAAAGUAGCAGUAAAUCAAAGAUGUUGAUCAUCCAAAUUAGGCCUGGCAAACGGGUCGUAUCUGUUGUGUUCGUGUCGUUUUCAUGUAACACCUGUUAUGUUAACGGGUCGUGUCGUGUCACACCUGUUAUCUUCACAGGUCCUUAACAGGUCGGGUCACUUUACCCAACAGGUAAAGUGACCCGACCCGUUAUGACCCGUUAAGAAAAAUAUUAUUUUUUCUUAAAUUUGCACAUACCACACAUUGCCACAUAAAUAUUACUUCAAAACAUUAAAACACAUUUGUCGUUUAAGUACUACAUCUACACUCGAAAAUAAGUGCCUAAUAAAAAAAUAAUACAUACACUACUAAUCUAUUACAAAUAUUAAAUGUGCAAGGAUAUGCAAAAUGAAAAUGUUUUUCUUUUCAAGGUUGUGAGGUCUUUCUCAAAAGUUUAAACCUCAAUUUACAAAAUCCUCGAUUUAUAUUGAUCAUCAUGAAAUUGUAUUGGAACUUUGGAUUGAUCUCAGCCAAUCCAAAGGUCAUCAAUUUUUUAAAUUUAAUUAAAUAUAUAUAUAAUUAUAUUAUAUAAUUAUUAUAGUUUUUAGGGGUAUAAAAUUGUUAAAUUAAUAUAUAUAAUUAUUAUAGUAUUUUUUAGGGUUAUAAAAUUAUAAAAUUAAUAUUAUGCUUAUCGUGUAUUGUGUUACCCACGUGUAUACCCGAAUCAACCCGUUAUCUUAACAGGUGCUUAUCGGGUUACCCGAUAAUGACCCGAUUCGUUAUCGUGUCGACCAAAACACCUGUUAAUUUCGUGUCGUAUCGUGUCGGAUUAUCGGGUCGUGUCAGGAAUUGCCAGGCCUAAUCCAAAUGAAAAAUUUUGCUAAAAAGCAAAACAAUAAUUGAGAGAUCUUAGAAAUACAAUCUUUUUAGAUAAUGUAGAUUAUUGGAACAUCACGUGAUGAAUUAAUUAAUGAAGAAGUUUGUUGUUGUUUGGUAGGGUAUAAUUAGCACUCAGAGUUUAAAUAGAAUUUUUGGGAAUUAAUAUUUUCAGGACGAAGGCAUUCAAUAUCACUGCAUUCAAUGAAUGGGUGUUGGAAGGCAGAGCCCCAGCUUUGCCCGAGAGUCUUCAGCUGUACAAGAAAUUGUUGAAACUUGGAGUCAAGGUCGUGUUCAUAACAGGUAGAGAAGAAGAUCAGAGAAGUGUCACAAUCACCAAUCUCAGAAAUGUCGGAUAUCGCACUUGGGAGAAGCUUGUCUUAAAGUAAGGAUCUACCAACGAGUUAACUUAACACUUGACGGAUAGUGGUUCAACCCUAAUUUUUUCUAUUUCCGCGUGUAUACAUCUUGACCUACUUUAACUUAUAUCUUGCCUAUUUUUUAACUUUUCAUGGAAAAAAUCAACCUAAAUGUAUUUGUGGUCCUCCAAAUGGUUCCUAGCAAACAUACAUUUUUGUUGCUUUAUUGCAGUUUCGAGGAAUUCGAGGAUUCUCUAUCUCAUAUUCUCAUUCCUCCGUCAUAACUCUACAUAUCUAUUGACAAAUGGUUCAUAGUAAAACUACAUUUUAUUGUAUUGUUUUUAUUGCUGUCUAAAUUUAAGUAACAUUUUUGGUUGCAGGGGAUCAGCUUAUUCUGGGAAGACAUCGUACGAGUUUAAAUCAGCAGAGAGGGCGAAGCUUGAGAAGAGUGGAUUCAGAAUAAUUGGGAACAUGGGUGAUCAAUGGAGCGAUAUAUUGGGGGCAAGUGCCGGCAACCGGACCUUCAAGUUGCCUGAUCCGCUCUACUACGUUAGUUGAUCACUGGUUUUUCGCUUUUCUGCAAGCGUUGAAUAAUCGAUUGAGGUUUCAAGUGAAUAAAUAAAGGGGGAAAAUGUCAAUGUGCUGGAUAAAUGGUACUAUAAGUGAAAUGUGACCAAAUGUAAGCACUUUUUCUUUUUCCUUCGAGGAGAAACUGUAGACGCUUUUGGUUUACCUGUUGUAAGUGAGUUUGAUUAUAUUGUUAGCAAUGCAUUUAAUUGUCAUGAAGCGCACUUAAUUUUCUAGAAGUAAUCUCAAAUGGAACUUUAAAAUGAACAACUAGAAAGCAAAUCAUGCUAAAAAUAAAAAAAUUAGUCUACAUUGAAGGAUAUAAAAGAGACAAAUAAAUAAAUAAAACAAGACAAAUCACCAAUUAAUUAAACAGUUGCAGUUAACCUUUACUAUCCUUAGUACAAAAUAUACCUAUGAAGUAAAUACAAUCUUUCAAUUUUUAUACAUUACUGCCUAAAGUAUUAAAAUGUUAACAUUAUAAGUGACCAUUGCAUCUUAUCAUGGACACAAAUGAAUUAUUAAUGUGACAAAUGCAGAGCCCAUUUCUAGAAUUUAAAGCCAAUCAUUCCACAAUGCAACUCAAUUUUGGUUUGACACAAGUCGCACUCCUAAAGUAAGACCUGCUCCGAUUUAAGGAUAAAUGCAGUUUUAAGACUUGAGCUUCUUGUUGGACCUAAAUUGAGCAAGAAAACAUAUUCAAACUUCUCUUCUAUUGAGAGCUAUUCUCACUGCCUAUGUGAGUUUACAGAUUAGAAAAAUCAGUCAGCUGCCAGCCCUUGCUAAAAGCAAGGGUUGGUGGCAACCCCGGUUUCCUUUUGAUUUCCUUUCUUUGUGUGUUUAUCAGCCUACCAAAUUUUCUCCCACCCCAAACCUCAACUCCUUCGUCAUAGAUCGGAAAGCCCUCAAUUCCAACUUUCCUUCUCCUAUUCUCCGCACUAUUUGUUCAAUUACAUGUCUUCAAACAAUUCAUUUUCUUCGUUUCCAUUAUGGCUUUCUUAUCCCUUUGUUUCCUCCAUCCUACAUCCUUUCCCCUUCUUCCAUUGGAUCCAUCACCUCUUGACCCACAUGCGUUGUGUUUUGUCAAAGAUCUGUGGGAGGGUGUGUAGAGCUUUGGGCUCCAAUCCUGUGAUGGAUUGGAAUUUUUCCUUGUAAUGUUUUGGAGGUCCAUAUUUUUCUUUGUACUUCCUUUGUGAUUGGGCAUUCGUUUUGUAUAUGUGUUAGUAAGAAUGAAUGUUGCCUUUGAACAAAAAAUAAAUAAAUAAAAAUUGAGCAAGAAAACAAAUACUGUUGAAACCAUUGGCAGUCAAUAUUGGCAGUUGAAAACAUUAGCUGAUGAAACCAUCGGCUAUCUGAUGAAUGCCCACAUAAGUUCUUUGUCAAUACCUACACAAAUAUGAUGAAGACUUUGGAAACAAAAUGUUGUAAAUUUCGAACUUUAAGAAUUUGUCGUAUGGAUUCGCUCUAUAAAUAGAGCACUCCUACUGCCAUCGAUGUAUAUACAGAGAGAACAUACAGAACGAAAGAAAUCUCUUCCUCCAUCUUUUAUUUGUCAUUCACUUGAGCUAUAGUUUUAGUGUGAUAUUUUACAUCUGCUUCGCACCUAUCUAAAAUGUUAUCCCUCUAACUUUUACAUAUUUAUAACACGUUAUCAGUACGAGUCUCUAAAUAUAACUAUUUCUCAUUCCUCUUUGCCGAAUGAAAAUCAUUUCACUUCGCCGAAAGAAAAAUGUUUCCUUUAAGGUUUUUACUGUUCAUCUUCUUCCUCUACCUCAACUGUGCGGUAUACCCUCGCGACGAACUGUUUGCUCCAUGUCUGCUUCUAGUUCUCCAACUAGCGGUUACAUACAUCUUUGAUUUCUUGUUUGGUAUAGAUAUUGAUUACUAACCAUAUUUAUUUUUUACUGCAAUGAAGAUGGUGCGGUACAAUCGCCCAUUUUGAACUGCAAAUUUCAUCUUACCGCGAUCCAAGAUGGUGCAGUAUCAUCUCCUAUCUUGAAUUACAGAUUUAAUUUUACUGCAAAUUUUAGGUGGAACGAUAAAAUUGCCCGCCCUACCCUGCAUAUUUAAUUUGCCUGCAGUUUAAUUUCAUUGCAAUUUUUAGGUGGUGCGGUAUAAUCGACCACACUGCUAUGCAUAUUUAAAUUUUUCCUGCUACUUGAGUGGUGUGGAAUAAUCGCCCAUUCAAUGUUACAUUAUUUCAAUGAGAAUGGUGCAGUACAAUCGCCUUCCUCAUUCACCCUGAAAAUCUAGAGCCAAAAGUUUCGAGUGCUUAUCAUUUUAGCCUGAAGAUCAAAAUGAAAAAAAAAUGUAAGAACCAGAAGUUCUAACACUAUAUUCCUCCAGGAAUACAUAUUGUUGCAAGUUCUUAUACAUCUCAUUUUUCUUUUAGAAAAGAAAAUGGCGAACUUGGCAAAGCUUGAAUAUGUUGCCCUGGACAUUAUUGGGAAUAAUUACCUUACAUGGGUACUGGAUACCAAGAUCCAUCUGGAAGCAGGGAAUCUUGGAGAUACCAUCAGAGAAGUGAGCAGCUCAUCCUCUCAAGAGCGGGCGAAGGCUACAAUUUUUAUUCGUCGCCAUCUUGAUGAGGCACUAAAGAGUGAGUACUUAACGGUUGAAGAUCCGUUAGCUCUCUGGCAGGCUUUGAGAAGCAGAUACAAUCACCAGACAACGGUGAUUCUUCCAAGAGCUCGCUAUGAAUGGACUCACCUAAGGAUCCAGGAUUUCAAGUUAGUGGCUGAGUACAAUUCUACGCUGUUCAGAAUUACCUCUCAGAUGAAGCUCUGUGGGGAUACUAUUACUGAGGAAAUGUUGCUGGAAAAGACCUUUAACACAUUUCAUGCCUCUAACGUGCUUCUGCAGUAGCAGUAUAGAGCGCGAGGCUACACUGAAUACAACGAGCUGAUAUCUGUGCUCCUGGUAGUUGAACAAAACAAUGAGCUCCUGAUGAAAAACCAUAAUUCCCGACCUACGGGAUUUGUUGUGUAAAACUAGCAUUUCAUAUUCAAUAAAAGUGGCAUGUAAAUUUCUUGUUAUAACUUGCUUUUAACUCUGAUUCCCUUACUCAGAGAGCAUGGAUAAAAAUUAUGGUCAUUCUCAGAACAUGAGAAAUGGCAGAGAUAUCUGUCUUGCAAACUGCACAACAACGUAUACAAUACUUCGAGAUUGAAAGUAUUUCUCAAGCUUGAUGUUUACAAAAGUAAAGGUAACAACAAUAUCAGGCCAAUCAGAUGUGAGUGAAGGCUCAGGGGAAACCCAUAUUAUGUUACCAAAUGGAACAAUAUUAUGCAUACAGAAUGCGUUGUACGCUACUCGAUCUACUCGAAACUUGUUGAGUUUUAAAGACAUACGCUUAAAUGGAUACCACAUUAAAACGAAAAGUGCAGAAAAUGUGAAGUAUCUAUGCAUUACCUCCAAUGAUACCCAGAAACGUAUAUUGGAGAAGUUGCGUAGUUUGUCGAGUGGAUUGUAUUAUACAUACAUAAAGACAGUUGAAUCACAUACUGUCAUGAACCAGAAGUUCAUUGAUUUCAAAGUUUACAUACUUUGGCAUGACCGUCUGGGUCAUCCAAGAUCCACCAUAAUGCGUAGGAUCAUUACCAACUCUAAUGGACAUCCAUUAUUGAGCAGAGACAUUGCUAUCUCAAAUGAUAACCCUUGCAAGGCUUGUUCUCAAGGGAAAGUUGUAAUUAGACCAUCACAACUAAAGAUUGAUGCUGAAUCCCCAUCAUUUCUGCAAAGAAUUCAAGGGGAUAUUUGUGGACCUAUUCAAUCAUCUUAUGGACCAUUUCGAUAUUUUAUGGUUUUGGUUGAUGCAUAUACCAGAUGGUCACAUGUUUGUCUCUUAUCUACUCGGAAUGUAGCUUUUGUGAGACUUAUUGCUCAGAUAACUAAGUUACGAGCAUAGUUCCCAAAUUAUCCCAUUAAGUCAAUCUGACUUGAUAACGCUGAUGAAUUUACGUCUCAAACUUUGGAUGAUUACUACAUAACAUUGGGCAUUGAUGUUGAACACCUGUUCCUCAUGUCCAUACUUAAAAUGGUUUGGCAGAAGCAUUGAUCAAGCGACUUUAGUUAAUAGCUCGCACUCUGCUUAUGAAAACCAAAUUGCCAAUUUCUGCAUGGGGACAUGUCAUCCUAUAUGCUGCAUCAUUGGUUUGAUUGAGACCUAUAGCCAACCAUCAAUACUCGUCAAUACAACUCGUGUUUGGACAUUAGCUAAACAUUUCAUAUUUACGAGUUUUUGGUUGUGCUGUUUAUGUGCCUAUUGCACCCCCACAACACACUAAAAUGGGACCUCAGCGUAGACUGGGAAUUUAUGUGGGUUUUGAUUCACCAUCUAUCAUUAGAUAUUUGGAACCCUUGACAGGUGAUAUGUUUACAGCUCGUUUUACUCAUUGUCACUUUGAUGAGACAAUCUUCCCGUCAUUAGGGGGAGAAAAGACCAUUCCAGAAGAAUGGAAAGAGCUAACAUAGGUUGUUCCCACCUUGUCUCAUUUUGAUCAUCGAAGCAUUCAAUGUGAAAAUGAAGUAAAAAGGAUCGUUCAUCUUCAAAGCAUUGCCAAUCAAAUGCCAGAUGCAUUUAAUAAUGAUAUGAAAGUGACAAAAUCACAUAUACCAGCUGCAAAUGCACUUGCCAGAAUUGAUGUCUCUGUUGGACAAAAUAAAGUGGCAGCGAAUGAUUUAUCUGGUGCACACCUAAAGCGUGGUAGACCACCAUGUUCAAAAGAUUCAGCCCCUCAAAAGAGAAAGAUGAGGGCACAGCUGAAUCCAAAUGAAAUCAUUUAGGAAGAGAGAAUGAAUGACAAAUCCACAAUUCAUGAUUCUGGACUUCUAGAAGAAUAAAAUGUCCUUAAUGAGACACAUGUCCCUGAAGAGAUAGCAGUACAUAAGAGCAAAGAAAUCUCCGUAAAUUAUGCAUGUAAUAAUGAAUUGUGGGAUCAAAAUGAAAUAAUCAUUGACGAUAUGUUUGCAUUCGCAGUAGCCACUGAAAUCAUAUUAAGUGAUGAUCUUGAGCCCCGCUCUGUUGAUGAAUGUAAACAGAGACAAGAUUGGCCUAAAUGGAAAGAUGCAAUCCAGGCAUAAUUAAAUUCCUUGGAAAGGCGAAGUGUUUUUGGACCAGUAGUCCAAACCCCGCUUGGUGUAAAUCCUGUGGGUUACAAAUGGGUAUUCACAAGGAAACGAAAUGAGAAAAACGAGAUUGCAAGAUAUAAAGCAGGACUCGUUGCACAAGGUUUUUCACAAAGACCUAGAAUUGAUUAUAAGGAGACAUACUCUCCUAUAAUGGACGCAAUUACGUUCCGUUACUUAAUAAGUUUAUUGGUUUCAAAAAAGCUUAACAUGCGACUUAUGGAUGUCAUCAUUGCGUAUCUAUAUGGAGAAUUAGAUACUGACAUAUAUAUGAAAGUCCCAGAAGGACUCAAGUCGCCUGAAACAGCUAACAAAUCACAAGGUAUGCUCUCGAUCAAAUUAAGGCGAUCAUUGUAUGGGCUAAAACAAUCUGGACGAAUGUGGUAUAAUCGUCUCAGUGAGUAUUUGAUCAAAGAAGGGUAUAUCAACAUUGUCAUUUACCUUUGUGUGUUCAUUAAGAAAUCCAACUCUGGAUUUGCUAUAGUGGCAGUAUAUGUCGAUGAUAUGAACCUAGUUGGAAUUCCUGAAAAGUUACAUAAAACUGCUGAAUAUCUGAAAAGCGAAUUUGAAAUGAAAGAUCUUGGAAAAACGAAAUUUUGUCUCGACCUGCAGAUCGAGCAUUGUGCUAGUGGAAUUUUGGUCCACCAAUAAGCUUACAUUGAAAAAAUCCUGAAGCGAUUUGGUAUGGACAAGGCUUAUCCACUCAGCACGCCAAUGGUUGUUCGUUAUCUAGACAUUAAGAAAGAUCUAUUCCGUCCAAAAGAAGAUGAUGAAAUGGUCAUUGGUCCAGAAGUACCAUAUAUGAGUGCAGUAUGUGCUUUGUUGUAUUUAGCACAAUGUACUAGACCAGAUAUGGCUUUUUCAGUCAACCUGUUAGCUAGGUAUAGCUCUGCUCCAACAAUCCGUCAUUAGAAGGGUGUCAAAGAUGUAUUACGAUACCUUCGUGGGACAACAGAUAUGGGUCUCUUUUACUAAAAAACUCCACAAAUGACUAUGUUCUUGUCGGAUAUGCAGAUGCUGGUUUCCUUUCUGAUCCGCAUAAAGCCCGCUCACAAACUGGAUAUGUGUUCAAGAAUGGAGAUACAACAAUCUCAUGGCACUCAACAAAGCAAACAUUAGUUGCUACAUCUUCAAAUCAUUUAGAAAUACUUGCUUUACAUGAAGCAAGUCGUGAAUGUUCUUGGUUAAGAUCAAUGAUCCAUCAUAUUUGGAAUUUAUGUGGUCUACCUUCAAAGACAGACACUCCAACUGUCAUUCAUGAAGAUAAUGCAGCCUGUGUUACCCAAAUGAAGAAAGGAUUCAUCAAGGGCGAUAAAACUAAACACAUAUCUCCAAAGUUUUUCAAUGCACAUGAGCUUUAGAGGGCUAAAGUUAUUGAAGUCAGACAAAUCCAUUCUAAUGAAAAUCUUGCAGAUUUGUUCACCAAAUCUCUACCAAAAUGCACGCUUCAGAAGUUAGUGCAAAGUAUCGAAUUACGUCGACUUACCAAACAGUUAAAUUUGGAGAAUGCGGAAUCAGUGGGAGAUACAUAUUAUGGGGAGCAUCCAUGAUACAUGCUUGUUGUACUCUUUUUCCUUCGAUUAGGAUUUUUCCCACUGGUUUUUCCUAUCAAGGUUUUAACGAGGCAACAUAAGCAUACUUAACACUAUAUCAACAAUCCAGGUAAAGUUGUACUCUUUUUCCUUCGCUAUGGUUUUUUCCCACUGGGUUUUCCCAAGCAAGGUUUUAACGAGGCAACUGAUGUUGAUAUGUGGACAUCCAAAGGGGAGUGUUGAAACCAUUUGUAGUUCAAAACAUUAGCUGAUGAAACCAUCGGCUAUCUGAUGAAUGCCCACAUAAGUUAUUUGUCAAUACCUACACAAAUAUGAUGAAGACUUUGGAAACAAAAUGUUGUAAUUUCAAACUUUAAGAAUUUGUCGUAUGGAUUCGCUCUAUAAAUAGAGCACUCCUACUACCAUCGAUGUAUAUACAGAGAGAACAUACAGAACGAAAGAAAUCUCUUCCUCCAUCUUUUAUUUGUCAUUCACUUGAGCUAUAGUUUUAGUGUGAUAUUUUACAUCUGCUUCGUACCUAUCUAAAAGGUUAUCCCUCUAACUUUUACAUAUUUAUAACACGUUAUCAGCACGAGUCUCUAAAUAUAACUAUUUCUCAUUCCUCUUCGCCGAAUGAAAAUAAAUUGAUUGAAUGAAAAAUUUCAGAAAAAUCAACAAGAAACAAACCUGUUUAUUGGAUUCAGGUUUAGAUUCAAAUUCAGAGCUAGCAUCAUCUUUGGCAAUGGCACUAGGGACUAAUCAUUAUUGUACUGCUUUGGAGAUCUUGAAAUCGAUGGAGGUGGCUGCGCUUGAGCUAGGGUCAAAGGGACAGCGGGUUCUAUCAUUUUUGGGGUCCAGAAGAGGAGGUGGGGACGAUUAACAGAAAAAUAACGAAGGUUUGACAUUACAACAAAUUUUUAAGAUGAGGUAUGACAUUAUAAUUUUUGAUGAGGUAUGCCUUAUAAUCAGUACAAUAUUGUUAGCCAAAAUUCAACAUGUCGUCAAUCUUCAAAAUUUCACUAACAUUAAAUUCAACAUUCUUAUUUGGUUACUGCGACUUGAAAUUGUGCUUCGUACCAAGGGCUGGAUGUAAGAAUUUCAUAAGUGGCAUAAGCCAGGGACGAGGAAGGCAAGCCGAGAGCAUCAGAAGUGGGGGAGACCUGCGAAGGGGUGGGUUAAGUGCAACUUCGAUGGAGCUUGGAACAAUAGAAGUAACCGGGGAGGUUUUGGGGUGGUGAUUCGAAAUCAUUUAGGGGAGUGUCUUGUCGCUGCUAUUGGGCCUAUUGAGAGGGCAAACUCUGCAUUGCAUGUUGAAUUCUUUGUAGCUCGUAAAGCUGCAAUAUUGGUGGGCACUAUUUGUACGGUGGAGGGGAAGAUUCAGUUCGAUGGAGACUCUGCGUUGGUGUUGGCUGCCAUGCAGGGGAGUGGGGACGACAACUCUACCUUAGGUCCUAUAAUCAGUGAUCUGGGAUGCCUUCUCAUGGAGUGGUCGGAUUCGGUGGUUAGUCAUAGUCAACGGGAAGGGAACUCGGCAGCCUAUCAACUUGCUCAGAUGGAAAUUAAUAGUGCUAAGGAGGUAAUGUGGUUUGAGGAGACUCUAGAUUUGAUUCAAGAUAUACUUCUAGGCGAGGGAUUGUAAUUCUUUUCCAUUGUUCAUUUGAGGAUAGUUCUCUUGUUGUGCAAGACACUAUUUUCCUUCGACAGGGUUAAAAUCCCCAGAAAGGUUUUUAUCAAGGCCCAUUAUGCGCACUAUCCUCAAUUUGUAUGAAUUCUGAUUUACUUAAUGAAUAUCGUACCUUUGCUUCAAAAAAAAAAAAAACCAUUUUUAUUUCAACCAGUAAGAGGAUACAUCUAAAAUAAAAACUCAAAACUACAGCCGAACCAAUUUAUUAUACGAUUCCAUUCUAUUUUCAACCAUUUGAUUAUUCUUAAGAAACACUUAAUUGUAUUAAUGGUUUCUGAACGUUACUCCAAGUUUAAUUUUGGUCUCUAAACUCUCAUAUUAGUUUUUUAAUCCUCGAACUCUACAGUGUGUUGUACCAUUGAUCAUUUUCAUUAAUGCCAUCAUUUUUUUUUUGGUUAAAUUUAGGAAUAUAUUAGGAACUUUAUCCCACAUCACUAAAAAUGAAAAAAAAAAAUCUAAUAAACCAGAUUUUUUUUGUGUGUGUAAGAAAAUUGAAUACAUAACCAUUUUCUCCGUAGCUUAAUAUGUGAUUUGUUAGUUAUUUAAGUCCAACCACAAUUCGAUAUCCUUUGAAAUCGCAUUGCCUAAUAUUUACAAGUUGCUAAAGUCCAACCAUUUUCAUUUUGUAUCUUUAUAGUUCAAUUUUCAUUUGCUUUAAGUUUUAGAUAUUAACUAGAUAGUGAUGUCCGUGUGUUGCUGGGGGAUUAUAAAUUGGAUGGAUAAUUAUAUUUCUAACAUUGCAGUAUAUAAAUUUUAAUUAAUAAGUGUGUGCAAAGAAGCAAUUUGUCAUGAUAUAGUGAAUAUUUGCUAAACUAUGCCAUGAGAUCGUCUUACUGGGGAUGAAAAGAAAUUUAUACAAACAAUUAGAAAUCAUAUAACUGUAAAUGCCAAGUCCUGUGAUCUAAUGGUUAAAAAUUAUGUAAAUUGUUUUAUCUAUGAAGAAAUGAAAAGCAUAUGGAAAGUGAGUAGUUACUUGAGCGAAGAGUUUAGAUAAUGAUUUUAAGAGCGGCAAAAGUUUUGUUGGAUUGUGCUGGUUGCAAAACAUGUCUUCUUUUUGCACACAGAAAAGUUUCAAAUGUAUGUUAAGAUUAUUAGGCUAAUUCAGAUUUAUAACAUUUGAGGCAAAAAAUAAAAAAAAUAGAUAUUCACUUUUUAACACUUGAAAACCUGUAAGCCAGUGGCUCCAAGAUGAAAAAAAAACCCUACAUAAACCCAAAUCAACUAAGUUACAAAACAACUAAAUAUGCAAACAACAUAAUAUUCUGUGUAGUGAUCUAGUUUUUUUAUUUUGUAAUUAAAUUUGUUUGUACCAUACUUGACCAAUCCCGAAACUAUUGAGCACGGGUCAACGUUAUACCGUCAAGGACCCAUAAGAGUUUUCCUCCAACCAAGAGGCCAAUCACAGCGCGACAUGUGUCGACAUCAGAAGCCAAUCAUAGCGCGAUACGUGUCAACGUCAGAAGUCAAUCACAAGACGACACGUGUCAAUGUCAGAACAAAGCUAGAAACACUCUUUUAUAAAAAGAGAUCAUUCUCCCACAAUUUUUGCUAAUAUCAUUUGUACUAAAUCAUUCACUAGUACUCACUAAAGGAGAGCUUGAACCUAUGUACUUGUGUAAACCCUUCACAAUUAAUGAGAACUCCUCUACCCCGUGGACGUAGCCAAUCUGGGUGAACCACGUACAUCUUGUGUUUGCAUCCCUAUCUCUAUCCAUUUACAUACUUAUCCACACUAGUGACCGGAGCAAUCUAGCGAAGAUCACAAACUUAACACUUUCGUGGUACCAAAGUCCUCACUGAUUUUGUGCAUCAACAAAAUUUAAUCUCAAAUUUUUGCCCAACAAUGGAACCAUCAGAGAUUGUGCAACAAGAGUUUAGCAAACACCAUAAGAGAAUGGGGAUAAAUUGAAUAGUAAUACAUACACAUCUAUCUAUAUAGUACAACUAAAAGAAACUAAACAUGUAACAUAAUUUCUUACAUGUUAGUAGAGAAAUUAAACCCUAAUAUGUUAGUAGAGAACAAUUUCUUACAUGUUUCAAUAUAUCCAGAAAAAUGGUUCUUUUUCCUUAAUGACAUGGACACCUGCAACACCCCUAUAGAAAUAAAAAAAAAAAAAACUUGAAAAAUUAAAGGGAAAUGAUUAGACCCAAUACUCUCUAAUGAAUUGGCAAAUUGAAUUGGGGUUUAGAUAAAUUGGCAAGAAUAAAAAUAGUGCAUUCAAAUACAUGAACAUAAGAUAUUAGAACAACAACAAAAUCAUGAGAAUUCAACUUUCUAAUAAACUCUGGAUCCCAAAACAAAAUGAAUUAUCCCUUCUCUAUUUCCUUAGCUAGCCACCACUCUCAAAAUUCCUCAAUCCCUUAUAUCUCACAAUGAUAAACACAUGCAUGUCCAUUUCAGCUCUUAAACUCGAAAGAAAUGUUAGGGUUUCUUAUUUUCUUACACAAAUCCACCAAUUUGAAUCAAAUCUCUGUAACAUAGAUGUGCAACUAUCAAUGGUUCUUCUUCCGCAUCUUUUUCAGAAGAAUAGAACCAACUGUACAAAGGCUAAAAUUGUUUCUCAGUACCAUUUGGCAUCUACAUCCAAAAUAUUGAAGAAAUGAACUUAAUGAUUAUGCAAUGCAAGUGUGAUAUGGUUGAUUGGUGCUUGAUGUGAAGGACAUUCAACCACGUUUUAAGAUGCAAUUUGGACCAAGAAAUGAGAAUGACGAAUAUGUGCUAUGAUGAGCGAGAUUAUAUAAUUGCUAAAAUUUUGGAUUGAAGAAAAUAUAGUACUUACAUAGAGAAAAAGGUUCACCUUGAACACUCCAUGUCCAGUGAAUGAGAAACUCACUAUGAAAGUUGCAAAGAAAAGAUUAAAUGGCAUGAACUCAACGCAUUUUGUCUUGAUCACCAAAUUUUGAAGAAAAAAAGGGCAUGAGUGAGAACAAAUUCAACCAUCUAAGAACAAUCUGAAUGAGGAUCAUUCGACACAAAGUUAUGAUGACAAUCAAUGGCAAACAUACAUGAAAAUUAGUGAAGCAAUACUCAAGUAUCCAACGAAUAAUUGCCUCCCAUUGUAGGUAGUCCAAGAACUUAAGCUGACAAAGACAAUGGACACCAAUAGAACAAAAACUGCAAUUAAUUAACAGUGUCAAUAUCCUAUCUACAAUAAACAUUUUAAAGAACAACAAAUAGUUAGUAAUGUAGAGUUGUAAAAGGUACCUUAAUAAGAAGAGAUGCAUGUAGAGCUCUUUCAGCAUAAGAAAUGAAAAUGCUCAAGUAGGCUAACUAGAAGGCAGUCGAACUGAAUUAGAACAUUCAACAAAAUUAUUUUGUUAACUUGUCCAUGAUAAAUCUGUUAAAUGUUCACCUAGAAUAGAACAUCAAUGAUUCAAUAAUCAGUAGGGAAGUGCAAAAUAUUGAAUAUUAAUUCAGUCCAGGAACUAAAAAUUUCAUAAAUGGUUCUUAAAUAUUGAACCCUAAAAGUUAAAACAUCAAAGAUAACAUAUUUGAACAAUGAAAGAUCAAAUUCACCUUCGGCGAGAAUCGAACUUAAGACCUCUUACUUGCAACUGAAGAGGAAUACCACUAAAUCGUAGUACUAAAUAUUUGUAAUUUUUAAAACAUGAGAUAUGAAAUUGUGAUUCGACUCAUAAUUAAAGUAAUUUUGUAUAAUUACCAUAAAACAGUGAUUUCAAUUGUUAAAGAUUUGAAAAUUGUAAAUGACUCAAUCUCUUUUUGAAAAUUACAUAAAGUCUUGACAAGUUAAAUCACGUGGGUCUCACAUGACCAUGGAUGUAUGCAGGAAUUUUCAAGCACUUAUAAUCAUAUACUUUAGGGCCGGGCAUUGUUCAGGUUGGAUUGAUUUCACAAAAAAAAUUGCGACCAAACCAAUGACAUUAUAAUAGUUUUUCUUUCUUUUGCCUUUUUUUACAAUAUUGUUAGCCAAAAUUCAACAUGUCGUCAAUCUUCAAAAUUUCACUAACAUUAAAUUCAACAUUCUUAUCUAGUUACCGCCGCUUGAAAUUAUGCUUCGUACCGAGGGCUGGAUGUAGGAAUUUCAUAAGUGGCACAAGCCAGUGGUGAGGAAGGCAAACCGAGAGCAUCAGAAGUGGGGGAGACCUGCGGAGGGAUGGGUUAAGUGCAACUUCGAUGGAGCUUGGAACAAUAGAAGUAACCGGGGAGGUUUUGGGGUGGUGAUUUGAAAUCAUUUGAGGGAGUGUCUUGUCGCUGCUGUUGGGCCCAUUGAGAGGGUAAACUCUGCAUUGCAUGCUGAAUUCUUUGUAGCUCGUAGAGCUGCAAUAUUGGUGGGCACUAUUUGUACAGUGGAGGGGAAGAUUCAGUUCGAUGGAGACUUUGCGUUCGUGUUGGCUUCCACGCAGGGGAGUGGGGACGACAACUCUGCCUUAGGUCCUAUAAUCAAUGAUUUGGGAUGCCUUCUCAUGGAGUGGUCGAUUCAGUGGUUAGUCAUAUUCAACGAGAAGGGAACUCAGCAGCCUAUCAGCUUGCUCGGUUGGGAAUUAAUAGUGCUCAUGAGGUAAUGUGGUUUGAGGAGCCUCUAGAUUUGAUCUAAGAUAUACUUCUAGAGGAGGGGUUGUAAUUCUUUUCCAUUGUUCAUUUGAGGGUAGUUCUCUUGUUGUGCAAGACACUUUUUUCCUUCGACUGGAUUAAAAUCUCCAGAAAGGGUUUAUCAAGGCCCAUUAUGCGCACUAUCCUCAAUUUGUACGAAUUCUAAUUUACUUAAUGAAUAUCGUACCUUCGCUUAAAAAAAAAAAACCAUUUUUAUUUCAACCAGUAAGAGGAUACAUCUAAAAUAAAAACUCAAAACUACAGCCGAACCAAUUUAUUUUACGAUUCCAUUCGAUUUUCAACCAUUUGAUUAUUCUUAAGAAACACUUAAUUGUACCAAUGGUUUCUGAACAUUACUCCUAGUUUAAUUUUGGUCUCUAAACUCUCAUAUUAGUUUUUUAGUCUUCGAACUCUACAAUGUGUUGUACCAUUGACCAUUUUCAUUAACGCCAUCAUUUUUUUUUUGUUAAAUUUAGGAGUAUAUUAGGAACUUUAUCCCACGUCACUAAAAAUGACAAAAAAAAAAUCUAAUAAACCAGAAUUUUUUUUUUGUGUGUAAGAAAAUGGAAUACAUAACCAUUUUCUCUGUAGCUUAAUAUGUGAUUUGUUAGUUAUUUAAGUCCAACCACAGUUCGAUCUCCUUUGAAAUCGCAUUCCCUAAUAUUUACAAGUUGCUGAAGUCCAACCAUUUUCAUUUUGUGUUUUUAUAGUUCAAUUUUCAUUUGUUUUAAGUCUUAGAUAUUAACUAGAUAGUGAUGUCCGCGUGUUGCUGGGGAUUAUAAAUUGGAUGGAUAAUUAUAUUUCUAACAUUGCAGUAUAUAAAUUUUAAUUAAUAAGUGUGUGCAAAGAAGCAAUUUGUCAUGAUAUAGUGAAUAUUUGCUAAACUAUGCCAUGAGAUCAUCUUACUGGGGAUGAAAAGAAAUUUAUACAAACAAUUAGAAAUCAUAUAACUGUAAAUGUCAAGUCCUGUGAUCUAAUGGUUAAAAAUUAUGUAAAUUGUUUUAUCUAUGAAGAAAUGAAAAGCAUAUGGAAAGUGAGUAGUUACUUGAGGUGGGAGUUUAGAUAAUGAUUUUAAGAGCGGCAAAAGUUUUGUUGGAUUGUGCUGGUUGCAAAACAUGUCUUCUUUUUGUACACAUAGAAGUUUCAAAUGUAUGCUAAGAUUAUUAGGCAAAUUCAUAUUUAUAACAUUUGAGGCAGAAAAUAAGAAAUUGAAAUAGAUAUUCACUUUUUAACACUCAAAAACCUGCAAGCCAGUGGCUCCAAGAUGAAAAAAAAAAACUACAUAAACCCAAAUCAACUAAGUUACAAAACAACUAAAUAUGCAAACAACAUAACAGUCUGUGUAGUGAUCUAGUUUUUUUAUUUGUAAUUAAAUUUAAUCUCAAAUUUUUGCCCAACAAUGGAACCAUCAGAGAUUGUGCAACAAUAGUUUAGUAAACACCAUACGAGAAUGGGGAUAAAUUGAAUACUAAUACAUACACAUUUAUCUAUAUAGUACAACUAAAAGAAACUAAACAUGUAACAUAAUUUCUUACAUGUUAGUAGAGAAAUUAAACCCUAAUAUGUUAGUAGAGAACAAUUUCUUACAUGUUUCAAUAUAUCCAGAAAAAUGGUUCUUUUUCCUUAUGAAUAUGACAUGGACACCUGCAACACCCCUAUAGAAAUGAAAAAAAACAACUUAGAAAAAUUAAAGGGAAAUGAUUAGACCCAAUACUCUUUGAUGAAUUCCAGCAAAUUGAAUUGGGGUUCAGAUAAAUUAGCAAGAAUAAAAAUAGUGCAUUCAAAUACAUGAACAAAAGAUAUUAGAACAACAAAAAAAUCAUGAGAAUUCAACUUUGCAAUAAAUUCUGGAUCUCAAAACUAAAUGAAUUAUCCCUUCUCUAUUUCCUUAGCUAGCCACCACUCUCAAAAUUCCUCAACCCCUUAUAUCUCAUAAUGAUAACACAUGCAUGUCCAUUUCAACUCUUAAAACCGAAAGAAAUGUUAGGGUUUCUUAGUUUCUUACCCAAAUCCACCAAUUUGAAUCAAAUCUCUGCAACAUAGAUGUGCAACUAUCAAUGGUUCUUCUUCCGCGUCUUGUUCAAAAAAAUAGAACCAACUGUAUAAAGGCUAAAAUUGUUCCUCAAUACCAUUUGGCAUCUACAUCCAAAAUAUUGAAGAAAUGAACUUAAUGAUUAUGCAAUGCAAGUGUGAUAUGGUUGAUUGGUGCUUGAUGUGAAGGACAUUCAACCACAUUUUAAGAUGCAAUUUGGACCAAGAAAUGAGAAUGACGAAUAGAUGCUAUGAUGAGUGAGAUUAUACAACUGCUGAAAUUUUGGAUUGAAGGAAAUAUAGUACUUACAUAGAGAAAAAGGUUCACCUUGAACACUCCAUAUCCAGUGCAUGAGAAACUCACUAAGAAAGUUGCAAAGAAAAGAUUAAAUGGCAUGAACUCAACGGAUUUUGUUUUGAUCACCAAAUUUUGAAGAAAAAAAGGGCAUGAGUGAGAACAAAUUCAACCAUCUAAGAACAAUUUGAAUGAGGAUCAUUCGACACAAAGUUAUGAUGACAAUCAAUGGCAAACAUACAUGAAAAUUAGUGAAGCAGUACUCAAGUAUCCAACAAAUAAUUACCUCCCAUUGUAGUCCAAGAACUUAAGCUGACAAAGACAAUGGACACCAAUAGAACAAAAACUGCAAUUAAUUAACAAUGUCAACAUCUACUAAACAUUUUAACAAUAAACAGUUGUAAAAGUAUAAUAAGAAGAGAUGUAGGUAGAUUACCUUAAGAGCUCUUUCAACGUAAGAAAUGAAAAUGCUCAAGUAGGCUAACUAGAAAGCAGUCGAACUGAAUUAGAACAUUCAACAAAAUUAUUUUGUUAACUUGUCCAUGAUAAAUGUCACAUCCCGGCCCGGGGUGAACCACUUCCCGGGCCCGCUCCACCACCGUAGCACAAUAUUGUCCGCUUUGGGCUUACCAUUCACUCAUAGUUUUGUUUUUGGGAACUCACGAGCAACUUCCCAGUGGGUCACCUAUCCUGGGAGUGCUCUGGCCUCCUUCUCGCUUAACUUCGGAGUUCCUACGGGACCCGAAGCCAGUGAGCUCCCAAAAGGCCUCGUGCUAGGUAGGGAUGAGAAUAUACAUUUAAGGAUCACUCACAUGGGCGAUGUGGGAUGUUACAAUCCACCCCCCUUAGGGGCCCGACGUCCUUGUCGGCACACUUCCGGCCAGGGAUUGGCUCUGAUACCAUUUGUCACAUCCCGGCCCGGGGUGGACCACUUCACGGGCCCGCUCCACCACCGUAGCACGAUAUUGUCCGCUUUGGGCUUACCAUUCCCUCACGGUUUUGUUUUUGGGAACUCAUGAGCAACUUCCCAGUGGGUCACCCAUCCUGGGAGUGACCUGGCCUCCUUCUCGCUUAACUUCGGAGUUCUUUCGGAACCCGAAGCCAGUGAGCUUCCAAAAGGCCUCGUGCUAGGUAGGGAUGAGAAUAUACAUUUAAGGAUCACUCCCCUGGGCGAUGUGUGAUGUUACAGAAAAUUUCAUAAAAAUUUGAGAAGGAAACACAAAUUUACUGAUAAAAUUCAAGAAUUUUAGUCAAAUCCAAAACACAAAAAUCCAAAUUUCAUAAGAAAAUCAACAAAAAAAAAUUAAAAUUACUAGUAAAAAUCAAUAAUUUUUUUUUUUUUGUAAAUAUAUCUUAUGAGAAUUGCAGCAUUGCUUUGUGAGAUAUAAAGGAGGCAACUUUGGAAUCGAAAGUAUCAACAUUGGCCGCGACGAACUCGUCCUCGGAACUUCAGAAACCCAAAUAAAAAAAAUCAAAUUUUCAAUCUAUAGACGUAAAAUUAUAGCAGAAAUCGAUUAUAUGUAUGUACAUAAUUGUAUCAAUAGAUAUACUUGUGAAAGAAACAGAGCAGAUGACCGACUGAGAGGAGAGAGGUUUAUUUGAAGCUGCUAUGAAAAAAAAUCGUCAAUGGGGUCAAACUACCUCUCUAAAAAUGAAACAGUCCCUACAAAAUUCAAGGCUCGAAAAUAAAAUAAAAUAAAAUAUAAAUUCAAAAGAAAUCUGAGAAAAAAUCAUGCCGUCAAACAAAUUUGAGAAAAAAAAAGAAAUAAAUUCAAGUUAAAAAUUACUUGCCCACAAACCCAAACCACAUCCCUAAACAUUACACACCGUAAAACUCUAGAAAUCACCAGAAUUGAAAACCAGCGCCACUGGAUAUUGUGUUAUAGAUAUCCUCUGCAAUUCAAAGUGCAUAAACUAUAACUAACUAGUCAUCAGAUAAAACUGAUCGAAAUAUGAUUUUGAAGGAGAUAAUAGGCAUAUCUUGGAGAACAAAGAGCUCCUAAUUGGCAAACUAAAUUAUUUUAUUAUGAUAUUUUUGGCCGGUUAAAUGCUAACAUGUAUAUAGUAGAAUUAGUUACUUCAUGAUUCUAGACCAUAUAUAUUGAACGUAAGAAAGAGAGAAAUAGAGAAUCGCAAAUAAAAUUCUAGAGAGGGCGAGCGGAAUCACCGUGAAUUCAAAGCUGCUUGAAGAAUUUUCUUCAAAUCGAGACAGGAUUUGCGUCAGGUCGUCAUCGUCGACAAAGAGCGUAUGAAAUCUUCUUCGAUAUUGAGACCUUAUGAAUCUUAGCGUCGGGUAUGUCGUUGACAGAGUGCUUCUCGAUCUCGAACUGGAGUUGGUGACCAUCGGGGAGUUUGAUGUUCUAUUUGGCCAAGAAUUUGGUGCUUCGGAGAGAGAGUUGCGCAGGAAAGUUAAGUUGACGAAGGGUAGCUAUAUUGGAGUUGACGAAGGGUAGCUAUAUUGGAGUUGACGAAGGGUAGCUAAAUCAGAGUUGACGAAGGGUAGCUAAAUCAGAGUUGAACGAUAACGGCAAAUGGAGAACGAAGGGUUUCUAGUGAUCAUGCUUUCUGGAAGCGAACAGUGCUUUGUCGUAGCAGAAGGUGCAGCGAUGGGGACAAAAUCGUCUUUUUCAUAUGUAGAAGUGGUAAAAAAUGGCUGAUAACAAAGGAAUUGGAGGGUACUUUAGUCUGUUUACUUUUAAUGAACAGUGUUUUUGUGUUGGGUUUUAGUAUAGUUAUAAUUUAUAAAUUUUCAUUUGUGAGCUUCUUCUAUUGUUUUUUAAAGAUAUAAGUUGAAGUUCCUAUUAUACCUCUAGAUUUAACGGAAAAAAAAAGACAGCGUUAGAGAAAAAGACCAAUGAUGCAGUGCAACAUAUUGUUAAAUUUGAGGGCUAAAAAAACUAAUUUGAGAGUCUAGAAACUAAAAUUAAACUAAAAGUAAAGUUUAUAACUAUUGUUAUAAUUAAGCUCCUAAAAAAAAAUAAUAAACCGGUCACCGUGAUUCGGUUCGGCCGGUUUGGUCCAUACCAAAUUGAUGGACGGCCCCACUCUACGCAGUAGCAGGACGUUUAAGGCACUCAACCGAUCACGUUCAUAUCCAACGCCUGUAAAGAGAUCACCCAACCAACACCAAUGUGGUUAUCUUUACACCAAGAUUUAGUGGGCCCACCCCACCAAGUUCCCCCUCCUUUUCUCUUUCAAGUUUCAGGCCAACUCCUUGUGUGUUGUAUAAGGAGUCGGAGCGCAAAAGAAAAUUCGCAAAAUUUUACAAAAUCAAAGUUAAUUCGAGGAAUUUCGACGAUCACGAUUGAAUCAGAAAAUGUCGUGGCAGGCGUACGUCGACGAUCACUUGAUGUGCGACAUCGACGGCCACCAUCUGAAGCCGCGGCCAUCCUCGGCCACGACGGUAGUGUGUGGGCCCAUAGCUCCACCUUCCCUAAGGUUCUCUCACAUUCUACAACUUUCUCUUUUUCCGAUUACUCUUCAUUGUCAUUUUAUUAUUUGAUCUGUGCUCUGUUUGUUUCCUCGGAAAACUUCAAUUUUCUCGGAAAAUGAAGUAAUUGGAUUGCAGAUGCGGGACUUGUGAACCUAAUGGAUACUGAUUUCAACAUUUCAAUUCAGAUUCUGAUAGGAAUGGAUUUUUUUUUUCUUAGUGAUGAUCGAUAUGGUUUGUGAAUUGUGAUUGAUAUUUUCUGUUUGGUUGCUGAGAAAAUGUUCUCCGUUGUGGUAGUUAGUGAGUGAUGGAGACUAAUAUUGGUUUGCUUAUUUUAUUAUUUAUGUGCAGUUUAAGCCGGAAGAGAUUACGGCGAUAAUGAAAGAUUUUGAUGAGCCAGGGUCUCUUGCCCCAACUGGAUUACACCUUGGUGGGACAAAGUACAUGGUUAUUCAGGGCGAGGGCGGAGCUGUGAUUCGUGGCAAGAAGGUUUGUUUAUUUUGUUCCUCUCCUUCAUCAUACACUAAUUGGUCAUUGAUGUCAUUGCUUUGAAUUCUUUUUGGUGUAAUUCGGGUUAGGUGUGUGUAUUUCGAAUGAAAACAAUGUUUUCGAGAAAAUUCCCUAUAUAAGUAGAAGAAUUUACAUGGAAAAACCCUACAUUUUCAAGAAAUCGCGUCUUUAGAUUAGGCUUGCAUUUCUCAAAUGACAAGUGAAAAGGAAAUGGGGUCAUUUUAUGUUCAUGUAAUGGAUCUGGCUGUAAAGUGUAAAGGAAUUAAUUCACUCAUGAACAGCUUACUGUUUUUGCUCGAUCCCAUGGCUUCUUAAUCGUCACCAUGUGAGCUUUUAGGCAGAGCUUCAUGGGUCUCAAUUUGUGUAUUUUAGAUUAUACAAUUACAUAUCAAAAUCAUGUUAUAGAUACUCAAUGAUAUGUUUAUAUUAUAAUUGUUCCCCAAUUGAGCGUAAUUCUCAGGCUGGUUUGAGUUUGGAUCUAGACUCCUGGAAAUGUAGUGGCUGAGCUUGAGUUUGCUAGCAGGCAAGACUCAAUUUAAGUUCUAAUAAUAGCCAUUUGUAAUUGAAGAUGUGGACGGUUUAUUUGAUAGUUUAUGAAAGAAAGGUUCUUUUCAGGUCAUUAUUUGAGAAUAUAGGAUUAUUAGCCUAAAUUGCUCAUAAAGGUUUGCAAUGAAAACUGUAAAGCAGUAUACGUGCACCCAUGUCAUAAGUAGUGGUCCUCAUGGUUGUUUCAGCUUUUUGACUUAUAAAAUUGUUCACCAUCGAUUCCAUCUGUUGAAGUUCUUCAUAUUGCAGUCAACAUUCUGCCUUCUCAUCUGUUGAUUAUUAUAGGGCUUUAGAUAAUGGUCUUUCCUUAAAAGAAUAAUAAUAGAGCUUCAAGAGUCCCACAGGUGGACCGCUUAAAUAUUCCUCUUCUGUGUAUCCCGAUUUCCUUUUGGGUUCUUUGUUUUAAAUUUUAAUUAGUCCCUCUCGAUAAUAGUCUCACAUAGCUAAAAUACACAAACACAUGGUUGUCUAAUUGCAUAUGAUUUAUCUGCUGUAAAGUUUACUACCAAACUCUUCCCAACAGAGGAUGCCCCUCAUGAUUAUGAGGUCCCUAACUUUGCGGAAGGAGCUACGUACACUUGCAACCACCGAAGCUAAUUUACACCGAAUUGCCCUUUACAUGUGCCUUUAUGAUGUAUUUCUUGCUGUCUAUGCAAAGUUUUUCUGGUCUAUGUGUUAUGACAUGCUGGAUUUGAUUUCCUCUGCAGGGCUCUGGUGGCGUAACUGUGAAGAAAACCGGCCAAGCUCUGGUUUUCGGUAUAUAUGAGGAGCCUUUGACUCCAGGACAAUGUAAUAUGAUUGUGGAGAGGUUGGGAGACUACCUGAUUGAUCAAGGCCUAUAACUCAUAUCACCGUCAUGAUUUUCAUACACUGAAGUUGUCUUUUUCGGCUUGCAUAUACUUGCUGGUUAUAUGGUUUGAAUUGCCACUGUUGGUGGUGUUACUGAAAAUAACCGUGCGCAGACGGAUGCAUUGCCUUUUGGUGUUCAAGGAUUUGUUCAUUUCUCCGUUUUUUUGUGUGUUUC